UGCUCCUCCUUAAACAUGACUCUCAUUGUGUCUGUGAUGUUCCUCUUCUAGGGAAGUUACCUCGCUCACACGCAGGGCAAAAAGCAUCAGACUAACUUAGCAAGACGAGCUGCAAAAGAGGCGAAGGAUGCGCCGGCUCAACCCGCUCCAGAGAAAGUCAAGGUUGAGGUGAAGAAGUUCGUCAAGAUUGGCAGACCGGGUUAUAAAG